GACGAACGCUGGCGGCGUGCUUAACACAUGCAAGUCGAACGAUGAAGCCCAGCUUGAUGGGUGGAUUAGUGGCGAACGGGUGAGUAACACGUGGGCAACCUGCCCCAAACUCUGGGAUAACUCCUCGAAAGAGGUGCUAAUACCGGAUACGAACUAGGUAGACAUCUGCACUAGUUGGAAAGUUUUUCGGUUUGGGAUGGGCCCGCGGCCUAUCAGCUUGUUGGUGAGGUAACGGCUCACCAAGGCUACGACGGGUAACCGGCCUGAGAGGGCGACCGGUCACACUGGGACUGAGACACGGCCCAGACUCCUACGGGAGGCAGCGGUGGGGAAUAUUGCGCAAUGGGCGAAAGCCUGACGCAGCGACGCCGCGUGAGGGAUGAAGGUCUUCAGAUCGUAAACCUCUUUCAGUAGGGACGAAGCGAAAGUGACGGUACCUAAAGAAGAAGCACCGGCUAACUACGUGCCAGCCGCCGCAGUAA
rnacentral:rRNA from 1 species